GGGGAAAGAAAGUGUAUUGUGAGAUAAGAUUUAGAAAACAGGUUUUGGCAUUACGGAAAUGCUUGACUAUACAAGGAAGAUAAACAACAGAGAAGGCAGUGACUGAGAGAGGUAGGCACAGAAACAAGGUGCUUUACACAGGUUGUACAACUGCUUUGCAAGUGCUGUUAACUUGUUUGAAAAAAAGAGACACUAAGGUUUACUGGAUAUGACUUAAAGGAUGAAUGUAAAGGACCUGUAGAGGAUGAAAGAAAAUGAGAGGCUAUGGAGGAAGAAACAGCAAAGAGCGAUGUGAGAAAUGGUCUGCGGAAUGAUAUUCCACUACUGCAGUCUAUGCUGGCGAAACUUAGUCUACAACACAAACAUCCCAUUUCACACCAAGAUAAAAAAGUUUGUAAAAGUGUGUUUUACAGUGAAGAACGUUUAACAAAUGAAGAAGACAGGAAAGAUAGCACAGUCAGAUCUUAUGGUGAUGAGGAGCAACCAACUAGGAGUUCUGAAACAGAAGAUGGAAAUGAAGUUGUUGAAGAGGUCAAAGAUGCCCUUACUUAUCAGGAGAGGAAGAACUUUCUCCCUGUGUCUUUGUCCACAGAAAUACAAGCUUCAGAAUUAAGUCAGCAGCCAAGUAAAAAUGAGUUUCUGGAGGACAAAAAGAACAAAGAGACUAGCACUGAAGAGCAAGUGGCUGAAGCUGCAUUAUUGCCUAACAAUCUAUCUCAAGAAACAUCUGCACAUACAUCUUACCUCUCUGUGUCCUCAGAUAAAGUAGACUAUGCACAGGCAGGGUUUAAGCUUGAACCAUUAGAUGAAGCUUGUGGUAGUCCUUCAAAUCCAGUCAGUAUGGACACCAGCAGGGUUCUAACCCAUCAAACUGCUGUCAACCUUACAAGCAAGACAACAAGGUCUGCUUCAGAUCCAGUAAAACACACGCCUAAGGAAAAGAGACCCCUGUCAGCUCCAAGUAUUUCAAACCAAUGGGAAUAUGAAGAUAUUGCAAAUGCAAUGUCAACGAAAAGCUUCAACAAAGCUGCUAAGAUUUUGGCACAGGAGGAUUCAGGCAUGAGCAUCGGGGGUGCAGAACAUGACAACCCGCUCAACAAAACUCAAAAGAAAGGAGUGAAAAACAAAAUGAAGACUCUUACUCAGAAACUGAUGGAAAAGCUUAAAGAUAAACAUUAUUGUGAGCACACCAGCAGCAAGAGCACCCAAGACAGUGUGGAGGAAGAAGGACAAAAUCUGAAUGUCAUGGAGAUGGAAGCCAAGGCUCCAGAGAUUCCACCACCACUUCCACCGAAAAAGGGGAAAUAUGUUUUCUUAGACAGAAGAUUUACCUUAAAAGACUUCAAACUCGAUCUUGAACCGAUCAACUUAAUGGAGGAAAUAUUCUCUGGGAGCGAAUGGCUCAGUUACCUGCCCAGCAAAGAAAGUCCAUCUGAGAAAGACACUAGUGAUCAGUCAAUGACAAACGAUGUUCUCCAACCAGAAAAGGGUAUUCAGCUCAACGUUCCUAUUCCAACACCAGAGCAGGACCAGUCAGAGGACAUAAAGGACAAUCAAGACAGUGUUAGCGAUCCUCAAGAGGACAAUGUAGCAAAAGCGAACAGUGACUUGGAUGUAAAACAUCUGGAACAGGAUCCAAACAUAUUUGCCAUACCUAAGGCACUGCUAACAAGUAAUGCAAUAAAACAAAGGGCUGGGAUAGACUGUGAGCCAAACAAAUCAGAAGACAUCUGUGAUCGUAUGGACAUGUAUAUUAUUCCCAGAAAUGACUUUCCAUUAAUGAAAAGAAAGGCAUCAGAUGCUCCACUGGACUUUUCAGCAGUCAAGUCAUUUGAAUUUCUAGACAACUCUGCCCUCAAGAGUCGAAUUCGUCUUAGCAAAAAGAGACACCACCGACCACCCAAAAAGCACAAAAAAGUAAAAACAGAAAUGUUGAGUGCCAUAUUCUACAAGAUUCCCCCUGUGAUACUGAAUGAAUCCCCUGUCAGCGCAUCUCAACCACGUCAUAGCAUCCCCCUUUCCACAUCUCCUCCCCUGCAUUCACCAUCACAUCCAUAUCACUCCUAAACAGUUACUCCAUGAGAUGACGUCAUGAUCAUGGUCAUUAAUCUAUGAAAUUCAAUUCAAGUUUUUCAGUUCAAGUUUAUUUGUAUAGCGCUUUUUACUAUACAAAUCAUUGCAAAGCAACUUUACAGAAAAUUACGUUUCUACAAUAUUUAGUAGUAGCUUAUCAGUGGUGACUGUCAGUUUAUGUGCAUACGGCAGAAAUGUUCAGAAAAAUCAAUAAAAGACAUAAACAAACAGACGAUUAACGCUAU
ensembl:lncRNA